rnacentral:tRNA from 1 species
GAGGGUAUAGCUCAGUGGUAGAGCCCGUGCUUGGCAUGCAUGAGGUCCUGGAUUCAAUCCCCAGAAACUCCA